UCCGGCUUAUCACCGGCAGUCCCCCUAGAGUCCCCAACUUAAUGCUGGCAACACGCCACGGGGGUUGCGCUCGUUACGGGACUUAACCCAACAUCUCACGACACGAGCUGACGACAGCCAUGCAGCAUCUGUGUGGCACCCUCGAAGGUCACACGUUUCCGUGCGCUUGCAGCCACAUGUCAAGCCCAGGUAAGGUUCUUCGCGUUGCAUCGAAUUAAAGAACGUGCUCCGCUGCUUGUGCGGGCCCCCGUCAAUUCCCUUGAGUUUUAGCCUUGCGGCCGUACUCCCCAGGCGGGGUACUUAAUGCGUUAGCUGCGGCACAGAAGACGUUGAUAAUCUCCCACACCUAGUACCCACCGUUUACGGCGUGGACUAC
rnacentral:misc_RNA from 1 species